AUUGAACGCUGGCGGCAUGCUUUACACAUGCAAGUCGAACGGCAGCGCGGGCUUCGGCCUGGCGGCGAGUGGCGAACGGGUGAGUAAUGCAUCGGAACCUGCCCAGUAGUGGGGGAUAGCCCGGCGAAAGCCGGAUUAAUACCGCAUACGACCUGAGGGUGAAAGCGGGGGACCGAAAGGCCUCGCGCUAUUGGAGCGGCCGAUGUCGGAUUAGCUAGUUGGUGGGGUAAAGGCUUACCAAGGCGACGAUCCGUAGCUGGUCUGAGAGGACGACCAGCCACACUGGGACUGAGACACGGCCCAGACUCCUACGGGAGGCAGCAGUGGGGAAUUUUGGACAAUGGGGGCAACCCUGAUCCAGCCAUGCCGCGUGCGGGAAGAAGGCCUUCGGGUUGUAAACCGCUUUUGUUCGGGAAGAAAUCCUCUGGGCUAAUACCCCGGGGGGAUGACGGUACCGGAAGAAUAAGCACCGGCUAACUACGUG
rnacentral:rRNA from 1 species